rnacentral:rRNA from 1 species
GGAUUAGAUACCCUGGUAGUCCACGCUGUAAACGAUGAUCACUAGGUGUUCGGAUUUCGGUCUGAGUGCCCAAGCGAAAGCGAUAAGUGAUCCACCUGGGGAGUACGUUCGCAAGAAUGAAACUCAAAGGAAUUGACGGGGGCCCGCACAAGCGGUGGAGCAUGUGGUUUAAUUCGAUGAUACGCGAGGAACCUUACCUGGGCUCUAAUGCCUCGGCUAGAUGGUGAAAGCCGUUUUUCCUUCGGGACCGAGUGCAAGGUGCUGCAUGGUUGUCGUCAGCUCGUGUCG